rnacentral:rRNA from 1 species
UCAGGCCUAACACAUGCAAGUCGAGCGGAUGACGGGAGCUUGCUCCUUGAUUCAGCGGCGGACGGGUGAGUAAUGCCUAGGAAUCUGCCUGGUAGUGGGGGACAACGUUUCGAAAGGAACGCUAAUACCGCAUACGUCCUACGGGAGAAAGCAGGGGACCUUCGGGCCUUGCGCUAUCAGAUGAGCCUAGGUCGGAUUAGCUAGUAGGUGAGGUAAUGGCUCACCUAGGCGACGAUCCGUAACUGGUCUGAGAGGAUGAUCAGUCACACUGGAACUGAGACACGGUCCAGACUCCUACGGGAGGCAGCAGUGGGGAAUAUUGGACAAUGGGCGAAAGCCUGAUCCAGCCAUGCCGCGUGUGUGAAGAAGGUCUUCGGAUUGUAAAGCAAUUGAAGUUGGGAGGAAGGGCAGUAAGUAAUACCUGC